rnacentral:rRNA from 1 species
UACGUAGGGUGCGAGCGUUGCCCGGAUUUAUUGGGCGUAAAGGGCGCGUAGGCGGUCACGCACGUCCGUUGUGAAAUCGCUCGGCUCAACUGGGCGGGGUCAGCGGAUACGGCGUGGCUGGAGCAAGCUAGGGGGGCAAUGGAAUUCCCGUGUAGUGGUGGAAUGCGUAGAUAUCGGGAGGAACACCAGUGGCGAAGGGCGGUUGCCUGGAGCUUGCUGACGCUGAUUGCGCGAAAGCGUGGGAGCAACAGGAUUAGAAACCCGGUGAGCCCAGUAACCGUACGUACACCAGUACC